UUUCCGUAGGUGAACCUGCGGAAGGAUCAUUAAACAUCGUUUCCUAAUUUGUGAUGACUCAGUGGUAUCAUUGCCUAAAA
rnacentral:rRNA from 1 species